rnacentral:tRNA from 1 species
GGAUUGUGGCUCAGUGGUAGAGCGCUUGCCUAGCAUGGGCGCAACCUGGGUUCGAUUCUCAGCACCA